rnacentral:lncRNA from 1 species
ACAAUCAGCCCCAGUCUCCCUGGGAAACCGACGAGCGCACCUGAGCUGGGUUCUGAGCUCCAGCGUUUUGGGGCUAGAAGUUGCGGACUAGUAGCUGAGGCGGCACGGGAGUGUAGGCGCGCGGGGUCGUUGCCGGGGGCACAGAGUGAGAACAAGCAAGGGAGCCCUGCUGAAUUGCAGCUUAGGAAGCCCUGAAUCCUGGAGGUGCGUUGAAACCGAGAACGCGCGGCGUAGUAGACUUUGUGAGAUGCGUGGGCAGUAGCGCAGAGUUCUAACGCAGAGUCAUGCCCUCUCAGCAUUCAGGUGGUCUUAAAUCAGAUGGGCUCGUCCCAGUGCUGAAAAUGCAUUAUAAUAUAAACAGAUAGAUGGGCUUGUUUGUGCCUAGAGUCUUUCCGUAGGAAAGACUGGCAGCUCUGAAGAGGGAAACUGGGUGGCUAGGAAACCGGAGGGAGGGAGAGUUUUCAUAUAAUUAUUUUUGGUCCUUGUAUGCUUUGCAUCUUGAAACCUAUCUGUGAAAAAUAAGCUCAAUUUACACUACAAAAAAAGUAUUGGUUUCCAACAGUACAUAGAAUAAAACUCAAAAUCCUUAGCAUGGCUUACAAGACACUUCACUACUGCCCUACUUCUUCAGCCUAGUCUUUCCUCCAUCACUUUCUUCAUUAUUUUUUUGGCCACACUCAAAGUUUGACAGCCUCAUAACCUUCCCUUUCGUUCCUUCUUGACCCGACUUGUCACUGCGUCAGAAAGGCCUUCCCUGUCCCCUCCUUAAUUAUACCAUUGCCCCGUUUAUUUUCCCAGCCACUUGUUCUCUUCUAUUUUUGCACUUAUAAAAUUUUGUAUAUAUAUAUAUUUAUGUGUUUAUGUUUAUUGUCUUUUGUCUUUACACAGUAAUUUGCAUGAGGGCAGGGGUCAUGUUUUUUUUUCUUCUCCGUAUUUCCGGCACAUGGUGGGCACUUAAUAUUUAUUUAAUGAGUGAGAGAAUGAAUGACAGGAAUGAAGUGAAAACAGUGACCAUUCCUUCCAAAGUGCUUGGUUGUCAAAUAGUAGAAAGAUGGCUGUGUCUUGGCCAGGCUCCUGCUGUGUGACAAUAAUGAGGCAAACUUGAGAAGACAAAUAAUUUUAGACCAUAAGAGCUGUAUAAUUGAUUCUAUUAGCAAGACAAAUGGGCCCUUCUCCAAGUUCUCUUUCUGCAUUCAUGCAUUCAGCAGGGAUGCAGUGAGCAUCCACUGUGUGCAAGUUAUGCUGCCUGUUUUUGCCCUAGAUUGAAUGCAAUGGCCAAAAAUAUUAAGAUGUGAUCUCUGGGUGGUGAGAUGAAGGAUAGUAUGUUUCAUGCUGCUUUAUAUUUUUCUAUACUUAACGAAAUAUCCUGGACAAUGAAGAUAUAUUACUUUGAUCUGAGACAUUUUCAUAAACAAAGAAAAAAAGAAACGGCAUCGAAAAAUGUAUAAGAAACUUUUUUUUUUUUAGACGGAGUUUUGCUCUUGUUGCCCAGGCUGGAGUCCAAUGAUGCGAUCUCGGCUCACCGCAACCUCCGCCUUCAGGGUUCAAGCAAUUCUCCUGCCUCAGCCUCCCGAGUAGCUGGGAUUACAGGCAUGUACCACCACGCGCGGCUAAUUUUGUAUUUUUAGUAGAGACAGGGUUUCUCCAUGUUGGUCAGGGUGGUCUCGAACUCCCAAUUUCAGGUGAUCCACCCACCUUGGCCUCCCAAAGUGCUGGGAAUUGCAGGUGUGAGCCACCGCUCCUGGCCUAAGAAAAUUUUUAAGAAAGAAAUUUUCCACAUUGGGUGGAAGACAUGGCUGAUUACAUACUCACAUGUAGGUACAUAGACUUUUUUUUUAAUAUAAGGUGUUUUCUAUACCAACAUGUAUUGCUGUUAUAUUGGGGAAAUAUAAUAAAUUAAUUUCAGAAGUGGUUACCGACUGACAAAUGGAGUAUUCACCUAAUUCAAAAUGCAACCUGUGACCUAUGUUAAGAAGCUGUAAAAGGUGAUGUGAGAAGGUGGCUUUUCUUGAAAUUAUGUUGCUUCUACAAACAAGUAUAACCAAUAUUUGUGACGACUUCAUAGGAUCUUCUUACCUCAUUUCCAACAGACAACAAAAUACCUACCAAAACAACAACAAAACACCAAGCUCUGGUCCUUCACUGAGGGAAGUUUACAAACUCACAGACCUAGUGCCUAUUCAAUUUAUUGUUAUCUAUUCAAAUCUAACCUAUCUUCAAUUAUAUGUUCCACUCAAAA